UACGGGGGGAGCAAGCGUUGUUCGGAUUUACUGGGCGUAAAGGGCGCGUAGGCGGCCUCUGCAAGUCGACUGUGAAAUCUCCGGGCUUAACUCGGAAAGGUCAGCCGAUACUGCGGGGCUAGAGUGCAGAAGGGGCAACUGGAAUUCUCGGUGUAGCGGUGAAAUGCAUAGAUAUCGAGAGGAACACCUGCGGCGAAGGCGGGUUGCUGGGCUGACACUGACGCUGAGGCGCGAAAGCUAGGGGAGCGAACGGG
rnacentral:rRNA from 1 species